CAGUAAGGAAUAUUGGUCAAUGGACGCAAGUCUGAACCAGCCAUGCCGCGUGGAGGAUUAAGGCCCUCUGGGUUGUAAACUCCUUUUAUCUGGGAAGAAAUGUACUUUUUCUUGAGUACUUGACGGUACCAGAGGAAUAAGCACCGGCUAACUCCGUGCCAGCAGCCGCGGUAAUACGGAGGGUGCAAGCGUUAUCCGGAUUCACUGGGUUUAAAGGGUGCGUAGGUGGGCAGGUAAGUCAGUGGUGAAAUCUCCGGGCUUAACCCGGAAACUGCCGUUGAUACUAUUUGUCUUGAAUAUUGUGGAGGUAAGCGGAAUAUGUCAUGUAGCGGUGAAAUGCUUAGAUAUGACAUAGAACACCAAUUGCGAAGGCAGCUUACUACACAAUCAUUGACGCUGAGGCACGAAAGCGUGGGGAUCAAACA
rnacentral:rRNA from 1 species